rnacentral:lncRNA from 1 species
AAACCUUAAAGUGCCAAAAACCCUAAGUAUAUAAGCUUAGUUUUUCUAAGUUAGGCGUUCUUUUUCGUUUUCCUUUACUUUGUAAAAUCUCUAUUUCUCUCCUCUUUUCACUCUUUUCUUCCCCUUGCGCCUUCCCUUCUCUUUUCUCUUCUCUUCUCUUUUUUUUUCCCUCUUUUCUCUUAUUUUCUUCCUCUUUCUCUUCCUCUUCCUCUUCCUACAUUUUCUCCCUUGUUGUCAUCGUAUCCCCCACCACUGUAGGCUACUAAUUUCCUCCUCUGUUGAAUCACAUUUCAUUCAUUCGGGUUACAUUAGCAUUUGAAUCUGUCAACGAUAAUUUCCAUUCUAUUUGUUGUAGAUCAAAAGUGAGAUCUCUUUUAAUGGUUAAGACUCUGUUCUUUGAUUUGCAACUAAGUUAAGUGUUGUUCUUUUCUGUUUUGUUAAUCAAUUUCUUUCAAAUCCAUCUAUUUUCUUUGUCGUUGAUUUUUAACAUGGGUAUGUUAUGUGUGUUUUCCGUUUGAAGCACUAGAUUUAGGCGAAUCGGGUUGGAAUUAAACCAAAGUAGUGUUGCACGGGUAUGUGGGUAAAGGUGUGUCUUAACUGUGUUAUGUCGUGUGUAUAUGGGUUUGGUUGAUUGAAUAUGUAUUCAUUUUUAUGUUAUGGUUGUUGUAAUUAUUUAUUAACGUUAGUGUAAUACCCUAACAGUUUCAAAUGCAACAAGUAGCAAGAGAUCUAAAAAAGGUUACAUCAUUUCUAAAGAAUCUAAAAAAUCGUGAGUGUUAUUUGAUUGAAAACUCAACUGCGUGUUGUAAGUAUGAUUGUUCUUUGCUGCCAAUUUUCUAAAUUGUAAUGUUGAUUAUAUGUGUGUCAUUAAAUCUAUGAUAAAUUUGCAUAAAUUACUGAUGCAUGCCUAUUGUUACUACUUAACCAUCAAACUAUUACCUUUUGCAUGACAAUAGCAUGUUAAUAUUGUUACUGUUGUUAUCAUUUUCUGAUAUCAAUAGCAUGCCACACUGGUGCAUUAGAAUUUGGGUUUUGAAGGAGGAAGUGUUGGUAUUUAAUGCCAGAUCAGUUUAUCAAUCAAAUUAUUAUUUUGCUGGUGGUUUAUCCGUAACCUACUGAUAUACUGGCGAUUGAUCUGCAAAAUAUUGUUUGGUGUGUAGAGUUGGAUGAGUUUUGAGGAACUCUUACUAUGGAGUGCAGUAGAUGGUUGGGUAGGAAAACUGCACUGUCAUUCAUGCAGGUUGUAUAUUUAAGAUCAGAUUGAUACUCUAAUAUGUAUUGUAUAUUGCAAAUUUGUGUGUUGUUAAUUAUUGCUUUAUAUACUUACUGCUUAUAUGUUAAGACCACACUGAGCUUCAUAGCUCACUAUUUAGCUUUUCCC